rnacentral:tRNA from 1 species
GGAAGAUUGACAGAGUGGGAAUGUGCCUUUUUGCUAAAAAGAGUCCUACCUUGAUCGGUAGCGGGAGUUCAAUCCUCUCAUCUUCCGCCA